GGCGGUGUAGCUCAGUUGGUUAGAGCAGCGGAAUCAUAAUCCGCGUGUCGGGGGUUCGAAUCCCUCCACCGCCA
rnacentral:tRNA from 1 species